UAAGGAAUAUUGGUCAAUGGGCGCAAGCCUGAACCAGCCAUGCCGCGUGAAGGAUGACGGCCCUAUGGGUUGUAAACUUCUUUUGUACGGGAAAAAACCACCGGUCGUGUAUCGGUGCUGAUGGUACCGUAAGAAUAAGCAUCGGCUAACUCCGUGCCAGCAGCCGCGGUAAUACGGAGGAUGCAAGCGUUAUCCGGAUUCAUUGGGUUUAAAGGGUGCGCAGGCGGAGUGAUAAGUCAGUGGUGAAAGCCUACAGCUUAACUGUAGAACUGCCAUUGAUACUGUCAUUCUUGAGUAUUGUUGAGGUAGGCGGAAUGUGUCAUGUAGCGGUGAAAUGCUUAGAUAUGACACAGAACACCGAUCGCGAAGGCAGCUUACCAAGCAAUAACUGACGCUCAUGCACGAAAGCGUGGGGAUCAAACAGG
rnacentral:rRNA from 1 species